rnacentral:lncRNA from 10 species
UACCCACCCCAGUGUGUGCCACCCUCAGGAGCCCCUGGCAGGACCAAGACUCAGGGUCCUCAUUGUGGGCCUCUGCAGCUUGUGGAAGCCACCAUAUAAAGAAGUCCAGGCUAUACUCCUAGAGGCCACAUGCAAGAGAACUGAGGCAUCCCAGCUGACAGCCAGCACCAACUGCCGGGCAUGUGAGUGAACUUUCCUAGAAUACGACCCUCCAGCUCCCAUCAAUCAAGACUGAAGAUGAUAUAGCCCUGGACAGUGCGGCUUGACUGCAGCCUCAUGAGACACCCAGAGUCAGACCACCCAGCUAAGCUGCUCCUGGAUUUCUGACCCUCAGAAACUAUGAUACAAUAAAUA